UGGGGAAUCUUGCGCAAUAGGCGAAAGCCUGACGCAGCCAUGCCGCGUGAAUGAUGAAGGUCUUAGGAUUGUAAAUUCUUUCAGCGGGGACGAUAAUGACGGUACCCGCAGAAGAAGCCCCGGCUAACUUCGUGCCAGCAGCCGCGGUAAUACGAAGGGGGCUAGCGUUGCUCGGAUUUACUGGGCGUAAAGGGCGCGUAGGCGGAUUGACAAGUUGGGGGUGAAAGCCCGGGGCUCAACCUCGGAAUUGCCUUCAAAACUGUCAGUCUUGAGUUCGGGAGAGGUGAGUGGAACUCCGAGUGUAGAGGUGAAAUUCGUAGAUAUUCGGAAGAACACCAGUGGCGAAGGCGACUCACUGGCCCGAUACUGACGCUGAGGCGCGAAAGCGUGGGGAGCAAACAGGAUUAGAUACCCUGGUAGUCCACGCUGUAAACGAUGAGUGCUAGUUGUCGGCAGGCAUGCCUGUCGGUGACGCAGCUAACGCAUUGAGCACUCCGCCUGGGGGAGUACGGUCGCAAGAUUAAAACUCAAAUGAAUUGACGGGGUCAUAGCUG
rnacentral:rRNA from 1 species